rnacentral:rRNA from 1 species
UACGUAGGGGGCAAGCGUUGUCCGGAUUUAUUGGGCGUAAAGAGCGUGUAGGCGGCUUGGCAAGUCCGCUGUGAAAACUCGAGGCUCAACCUCGAGACGUCGGUGGAAACUGCCUCGCUAGAGUCCGGAAGAGGAGAGUGGAAUUCCUGGUGUAGCGGUGAAAUGCGCAGAUAUCAGGAGGAAUACCGAUGGCGAAGGCAGGUCUCUGGGCUAUAACUGACGCUCAUGCACGAAAGCGUGGGGAGCAAACAGG